rnacentral:rRNA from 1 species
GACGAACGCUGGCGGCGUGCUUAACACAUGCAAGUCGAACGGAAAGGCCCUGCUUUUGUGGGGUGCUCGAGUGGCGAACGGGUGAGUAACACGUGAGUAACCUGCCCUUGACUUUGGGAUAACUUCAGGAAACUGGGGCUAAUACCGGAUAGGAGCUCCUGCUGCAUGGUGGGGGUUGGAAAGUUUCGGCGGUUGGGGAUGGACUCGCGGCUUAUCAGCUUGUUGGUGGGGUAGUGGCUUACCAAGGCUUUGACGGGUAGCCGGCCUGAGAGGGUGACCGGCCACAUUGGGACUGAGAUACGGCGCAGACUCCUACGGGAGGCAGCAGUGGGGAAUAUUGCACAAUGGGCGGAAGCCUGAUGCAGCAACGCCGCGUGCGGGAUGACGGCCUUCGGGUUGUAAACCGCUUUCGCCUGUGAUGAAGCGUGAGUGACGGUAAUGGGUAAAGAAGCACCGGCUAACUACGUG